rnacentral:rRNA from 1 species
CCCUUAGAUGUUCUGGGCCGCACGCGCGCUACACUGAUGGAUUCAACGAGUGUUGUUCUUCGGAGCAGAUCCUUGGUCGGAAGGCCUGGGCAAUCUUGUAAAUGUCCAUCGUGAUGGGGCUAGAUUUUUGCAAUUCUGAAUCUCCAACGAGGAAUUCCUAGUAAACGCAAGUCAUCAGCUUGCAUUGAUUACGUCCCUGCCCUUUGUACACACCGCCCGUCGCACCUACCGAUUGAAUGACUCGGUGAAAAAUUGGGACUGUGAUUGAAAUUGCUUCAUUGCGAAUUUAAUUAUGGAAACUUUCUUUAACCUAGGCAUUUAGAGGAAGGUGAAGUCGUAACA